rnacentral:lncRNA from 1 species
UAUACUUCAUUUUGUUAAUCAAAGUUACUCAAGUUCCCAUCUGGAACCUUGAGUUUCAUCUUAUAACACAGAAAGGAUUACAAUACCAAUUGCCUAAUCCAAUUACAAUUUGACAGGUUCUAUAGGCUGUAGCCAAGAUGGAUGAGAUCUGAAUCUCCUGUAUCUUUGAGAGAUACAUAAAGUGAGAUAGUGUAAGUAUUCUCAACUAAUGAAAUACUUUAGCUGAAAAGUAUCCAUUCCUCGGCUUAAUUCUGAAGUUGCAGAUUCCCGCUUUCAUUAUUCUUCAGUGCAGCUAUAACAUGUCUAGGCAAGGAGACAGCAAAUUCGGAGACAGCUUCAGUGAAGGUUUUACUUUUUCUUAGUAUUUCCCCCCCAAUUAGCUAGUUAAUCUGCUAUUUCCUUCUCUCCAGGCAUGUGUAAAUUCCACCUAGUGUUCUGAUAUUGUGAAUUACAAUUAUGAGAGAUCUGCCACACCUGCUUAGACACUUUAGUGACCAAGUUAUUGAUCACUUCAGAAUCUGUUUCAAUCACCAGUACUAAGAGACAACGAUUAGAAUAAUAUUUGAACAAGAAAGAUGGCAAGAAUUUUGUUGGGGUUUCCGACUUGGAAGUACAAGAAAUAUCUAAUAAAGCAUACCACCACCAUACAAAGAACACUGACCUGGAUUGUGAUCACCAGCUCCACCAAAUUACCUCAUCCGAAAAAAAUGAGAAAAACUCCUAAGCGAAUGGUUUAAGGAAAAGUACAGCCAAAUAUGAUAUGAAUAAAAUAAAUGAAGAACUUGGGAGAACUCACAGAAUUUUGGAAAGCAAUUCGUUAUCAAAUAGCAGAAGGUAAAAAUAUAAUCAGAUAAAUCAAGAUCACGUUGUUAAUUAUCAGAUCCACACCAUAUAUGUGAAGGAAUGACCCUGAAAAAGCAAUUACCUUAAAAUUCAUCCAACAUAUGACUAGCUCCAAAUUAAACCUAAAUACCAGAUGUUGAUAAACACAGAAAAGCGCAUAGAUAAAACAUAAAUAGAUUAGAGAGACAGUGGUGGGGGUGACAGAUAGAGCAGCGAGCACACAUAGCUUCAAGCAUAGACUGAUUUCAUGCCAGAAAACAGCAUGUGUGCUCACUCUCUUCUGUCACCUCCCUUUAUUUACCCCUUUAUAUCGUUAACCUGGAUCUUAGGAUGCAAUUCUCUUCAAUAACAAACCCUAGAUCUGAAACAAUAGCAACUACUGUUUUAGAAUAAUGAUUUUGAUUUAUGAUUUGAUGUGUGAGGAAUAAUGGAGAGUCUUAUGCCCUUUAUAUAGGUAGAUUGAACCAGACAUUUGCAUCACGUAACGAAUAAAUGUGUGUUUAUCCCUUUCUUUAUGAGUCUAUCCCCACAUGCACUGUUAUGGAGAUUCCCACAGCACUGACACAAACACAGAGGAUAAAACGAUCAACCAUUUUUUUUAAAAACAUUUCCCGAAUAACUCGUAACUAACUUACCAGAGGAGAGGACCUGCAUAUAUCCAAAAUUACUCUUAUCGAAAUUUCUUGGAAUUCUUACCUCCUUCCAUUUCAACUUAUAAGGA